rnacentral:lncRNA from 1 species
AGAGGUUCAGGGAAAUAUCGUCGCUCCAUUGAUAUAUCAGGCCAGAAGUAGGCGGUGGGGCAAAAAUUUUGCUCGUUCCAUAACCCACCUAUUCCCUUCCUCUCUGAUUAUUCGAUUAUCCACCAAACUGAAUAGCUCGUGUUCACAGCUUUCUAUCUCACUAGUUUUUUGGAGGAAACUACUUAUUGAUCUUAUUUCUAAAAGAUUUGGAAUUCAGAGACCUUAUUCACUGCUUGAGGUAUUCUUUUAAACCUUUGCCACUUUUUCAUUUUUUUUUUCCUCAAAGCUUUUGUGGUACUUGCAGAUUAUGUCUAUACUUGGAUGAAAAAUACAUGAGGCUUUGAUGUACAAUAUGUCAAAAAUCGCAAGCAAUUGAUAGAUAGUAUUCAAUUUCUGGUUUCUUUAUAUAUUUGGCUUGCAGAUUUUUCUUGCUUAGCGACCAAGCAUUCUGGUACUUGUGCUUCAAACUUUACUGUUGUUGCAACUUUGGUUAAAUAAUUUUACUACUUAACUAAUUUUUACAAACUUAAGACAUCAAUUCAAUGGUUUUGUAAGCGAGAGGUCCGGGGUUCAAAACUUCCCACUUAUACCAAAAAAAAAUAAGAUAUAAUUAAGUUAUAUGUAACUAAUAAUUUACAUAUCAUAUAUAUGUGUAUAUAUAUAUAUAUUAGUAGAUGAUAUUCGACAAGUUUCCGGUUUAUAUCAUGGACUUUGUCGAAUUCUACAUAUUUAGUCAAACAAUUAUAACAUAAGAGACUAAAUUAACGAGUUUUCUUAAAACUAUGAUAUGAUAGGCCAACUAUAUCCCUAAAUGCUGAAGACAAGUGCUAAUCACACUCUCUCUGUUUGGAUUUGACUGUUUUUCAAAAACUAGUUUUUCAUUUCAAAAGUACUCUAAAAAAUAGUCUAAAAUUUUUUUAAUGUUUAAAAAAUAUCCCAAAAUAUAUUUUAAAAACUCUUCUACUCUUAAAUAUCCCAAAAUAUACUAUAAAAACUCUGUUAUAGUAAAAUUUUUCAAAAACACCCUCAAAACAGCUAAUCCAAAUGGAUGAGAUCCAAACAGAGAUGUAUGCAUCCGAACAAAGAUGUAUGCAUCCAACAGCACCUCUUUUUAUAUGCCUCCAACAGCUCAAUUGGCAUCACUAUGAAUCCCCAGCACUUAACCUGAGAGAGAAAUUGCCUUCAUACUCAUUACAAAGGAUGAGUUUCAAAUACCACUAAUCUAAAUAUAAGUCACCUUUCCUGGUACACAACAGGGUAUUUUAUUAAAUCGUAAUAAAAACCAUCAAUUUCACAUCAGAAUGCACAUAAAUGAUAGAAAGAAGAAAACCACAAGCAACCAGUAAUAGAAUAAAGCUGCAAGCAUAUUACUCUAAGCCAACAAGAGCUCAUCUUCAUAUUCAUGAAUAACGAAAUUUGCUCCCUUUUUUCCUUAGCACAUCAACACCCAACAAACCUACCAAAAAUCAUCUCGAACACAAAUUAUCCUAAUUAAGGGAGGAAAAAAGUCCAAGAAAUAUUGCCAAUGAAAUAUUCUCAACUCAGGAUAGAUCUGACAAAAACACAUACAAAUCAUAAAUUCAAUCAAUCAGAGACAUAGAAAGAAAGACCAGAACCGUACAAGACAUACCAACAUCAAGAAAACGUAUGAACAAAAUAAAUCAGCCACAGAACAGUUUAGAAAAAUAAAGGAUACAUACCUUUUAGAUGAUAAAACAAGUCUAACCAAUUCAACCAUGAUCAGAUCAACUAAAAAUUGCCAUUCAUCUAAUUAUAUUUAUUUUCUCUUGCAUAUUUUGCUAUUGUUUUUAGAUUUAGGAUUUUUCUUGCAUAUUUUGCUUUUUUCCCCCUUGAUUUAGGUUGCAGGUUGAAAGAGAGAUAAAAAAAAAAGAAGUGGCUGCAGAGGCAUUAUGAUUAAGAUUAGGUUGAACGUAGGAGAAGUACUGUUUGACUUGGAACGUUCUCAAGUACAGUUUUACCCAUGUUUGACCACAGAGGUAUUGUUGAUACAAAAGGUUGUUUCCGAGAUUUCAUCCUGCAACAGCUUUCUGUUUUAAUUAUGGGGUCCCACAUUAAUUCAAGGAUGAAUAAGAGGUAACCUUCUAAUUUAAUUCUCUUACCGUUAUUGAAAAUACAUAUGAUUCAUUGAGGAAGUUUUAAAUUAGAAUUCAAAGGUAACCUUCUAAUUUAAUUCUCUUACCGUGAUUGUAAUUCAAUAUGAUUCUUGUGUUUGCAAAUCAAUACGAUUCUUCUCCUGUAUUUGCCAAAUGCGAGAUUACACAUUCAGAGUAUUUGCCCAAUGCGAUUACGUAUCAGAGUAUUUGCCCAUGUAAUCUUGAAUUAGAAGUGCACCUUUUGAAUCCAAAUGACUUGUGAUAAGCUCUAUCUUUAUUAUUCUUAGUUUAAUUGAUAUCACGAAUAGUCCCAAUGAUUUCUCAAAACUUUCUGAUGUAUUUGUGUUUUCAGAGUAACUUUGAAAAUGCCGAAGUUUCAUACCGUUUCUAGGAAACCAAAAAGGUGUGAUAGAGACCAAAAAAAUCGCAUUUGCCUGCAGCCACUGCAACCAAGAGUAUGCGAUCUCUUUGACUGAGGCGGUAGAACACACCAAGAAGUGUAAAAUGGUGGGGCAAAUCGUAUAGUAACUUAGCCAAAGAAACCUCAGAAUCAAUUGCUAAAACUAAGCAAUUAUUGUCCUCUUAAUAAUAGGAGAAAGCUGCUACAACUAGGGCUGCCGCUGCUCAGGAACGAGCUUGUGCACAUAGAGGGCAACAGCAGCAACAACAGGCCCCGGUCGUGUGACAACAACAGCAGCAAGCAGCCAUUGUGAAUGGUGAUCUUUGCCUUGAACUACUACUUUGACACAGGUCUAAUCAGUCAGACAUUAGACUUACAUUCUUACCUAUUUUAGUUAAUGCCUGGGACAGCUUUCACACAAACUCACAAGAGUGUUUACUCUUGUAAGUUGAAAUCAGAUGCUGAAUUUCAAAUAUAUCAACUCUAAGAAAGAAUAGUUUAGGCAAAAUGUAUACCUUUGCUCUGAUUUUGGAUAUUCCCUCACUGAGCAAAGAAUAGAUCAACAUUACUUCUAGUCAGAUACAUAUCCAGAAAAGAUCAACUUUGUCAUGCCCCAAAUUUGUGAUAAAUAAUAUUUUAAUAAUAAAAGCAUGUACAGAUAUUAA